CCAUCUAUGCGUGUUCUUAUUAUCCAGUCUAUCAGAUUUUGUGCAGUUGUAAGACUAACAUUAGUGUGUUCUUUGAAUGCAUUUUUACACACGUUGCUUCACAUUUAUUGCAGUUUAUCCCAUUCUAUGUAGUGGUAAUUCUGUGUCCCUUUAAUUUCUCCAUGACGGAGUAACAGAAAUUUGUCGUGAACUCGUCUCUUUUCUGUUGACAUUUAAAGACUUAAAUUGCACUUUCAAGAUUUUCUGUGUCUGUCAGACAUGUGAAUGAGAAAGCGAUCUGAGGCGAGCACUGUUCUCAUCUGACCAGUAAAUCUGACCAGUAAAUCUGACCAGUAAAUCUUUGCUUUCACUUUAUUGAUUAUUACUCUUUGGGUCCGGUUUUUUACAAAACUGAAGAUAAAUCAGUCUAUUCUGUUUUUCAUUCAAUCAUUUUGCACGAUCCUACACUUGUUGAAGACUUCAGGAAAAUCAGCAUUUUGUUAUCCUCCAGUGCAUCUAAGACCAUGUUGUCAUGGUAACUGCUGUUUGAAUAAAAGAUUUAGGAACCUGUUACCCUUGUCUAUAUAAUAAUAAUCUUUAUUUCUACAAGAACAUGGUAUACAGACUAUAGAUAACAUUGUACUAUAUAGAAAGCCGCUUGUUAUGUAGAACAUUUAGGUGAAAUUAGGUCAGUUUUGUCCCAGGAUACGACCCACACCAGUCGACUAACACCCAGGUACCUAUUUUACUGAUGGGUGAACAUUGAACAGUAGGUGUAUUAAGGAAACACGUCUAAUGCUUCGAUCCAAACCGGGGAUCGAUGCCCCGAACCACUGCGUGAGCUGAGUCCGCUGACGAUUGAGCUACGGGAUACACUGGCUCCCUCACUCUUUUGUUAGUCUGACUUUGUAAGUGGUUCAUGUUGGACCGUAACGUCGUGGUAUCUGCGAGUACUGAGCUACAGCUCCUGAGCCCCGCGGCUCGGUCUGGGAGCAGGCUUCCCGGUGCUGAUCAGCAAGGCUGUUCCUGCUGGCUUCACUGCCCUCCUGGACCCAAGGUGACACCGUGUCAAGUUCCACUGCUUUUGACGUGUCCAAUUUGCCUAGCAGCUUCUUCAAGUCAUAACAAGUCAUUGUGAUGUCCAGAUUCGUCUAAUUCCUCUAUUCUCUCAUGUUCUCUGUCAUCAUCUACGUUUCCUCAGGGUUGAGACAUGGCUCCUGGCCCCUCCUCUUCAAUGAUGGCUACUAGGUCCUCUCUCUCCCUGCUCCAUGAGCUUUAUCAUACCUCGUCUUAAAACUAUGUAGGGUUCCUAAGUCCAAUACGUCACUUGCCAGACUGUUCCACUUCCACUGAAGAAAUACUUCCUAACAUCUCUUUGACUCAACUGAGUCUUCAACUUCCAAUUCUGACCCCUUGUUUCUGUGUGUGUGUGUGUGUGUGUGUGUGUGUGUGUGUGUGUGUGUGUGUGUGUGUGUGUGUGUGUGUGUGUGCGCGCGCGCGCGUACGUGCGUGUGCAUAGACACAUCUCAGGGCAGCACAGCAAGUGGAGCGACCAGUAUGUAUAACCCUCCUAAACACAGAUGGGUAAGUACACCCAUCAAUAAAAAAAAUAAUACACAAAAAACUCUAUGGAAAUAUCCUGCCUCAUUUCAUCACUUCCACCCGAGUGAGUUUUCACUUUACGGUCGUCUCUAAAGGAUCAAUAAAAUCUGAACGUUAUUAAAAUCCCUCUUUCAUUACUUUUUGACAAUCAGCUAAUGUAUUCCUGGAAAUUAUUGGGGUUCACGAUACAAUAUUGAACUAUAGUUGAUUUUUGUACCUAUUUUCUAUGUGUUCAAAGUGAUUUUUAUUAUGCAACGACACAGUCUAUGUAAUAACACUUUUUUGAAUUUCAA